UCCUACGGGAGGCAGCAGUGAGGAAUAUUGGACAAUGGAUGGAAAUCUGAUCCAGCCAUGCCGCGUGCGGGAUGACGGCCCUAUGGGUUGUAAACCGCUUUUGCAGGGGAGCAAUAAGGUCCACGCGUGGACCGACGAGAGUACUCUGUGAAUAAGCAUCGGCUAACUCCGUGCCAGCAGCCGCGGUAAUACGGAGGAUGCAAGCGUUAUCCGGAUUUAUUGGGUUUAAAGGGUGCGUAGGCGGGAAGUCAAGUCUGUGGUGAAAAGUCCGGGCCUAACCUGGAUCGUGCCAUGGAAACUGUCUUUCUUGAAUAGUGGUGCCGUUGGCGGAAUGUGAAGUGUAGCGGUGAAAUGCUUAGAUAUUACACAGAACACCGAUUGCGAAAGCAGCUGACGAACCACCGAUUGACGCUGAUGCACGAAAGUGCGGGUAUCGAACAGGAUUAGAUACCCUGGUAGUCC
rnacentral:rRNA from 1 species